AGUGUAUUCAUUCCUUCUGCAAAUCCAUACUGUCAUGCCUCUUCCCCAAUAUCGUCAACGCGAAUAGUUCGUUAGUCGAAAAUACUGAAUAAUUAAACAAACUAAAUGGCGUCACUGGUGGUUCUUUUUUCCACUCCGCUAAACUGUCAUCUCAAACAAAAACAAAUGGAUCAUACAACUGCUAUGAAUACAUUCGACUCGUUUGCUUCCAUCAAUCGGUAAGUGAGAAAGAUGAUUUCUCCCAUCAGUGCGGAUUUCCACUUCUAUCACAGCAGCCAACAACAUCCGUUUUCCUGCAGCAGUAACCUAUAACCCCUGUUGGCAAUGCCGGGGGACAGCAUCAACAGCAGCAGCAGCAGAAUUUGACCAUGGUAUGGUAUUGCGAAGAACUUUCCCCAUUAGAGGUUCCGUGCUUCGCGCACAUUCAAAAUCCUCUUCAGACACGAAAACUCAACGACAAGGAGGUAUUUAUCAACUUGCUCAGCUGAAUUACCACCCGGAGGAACCCGAAUGCACUGAUUCCGUUGUAUAGUAGAAUGAAAAUAGGCGAGGUAAGCGAACGUAAUCGCAUGAUAUUUUAAUAGUUCGCAUUUUUAUCCGGAUCAUACAACUGCUAUGAAUACAUCCGACUCAAUCAAUCGGCGAGUGAGAAAGAUGAUUUCCCUCAUCACCACAUUGCUUAUUUCCACUUCUGUCACGCCAGCCAACAGCAUCAGCUUUCCCGCAGCAGUAUCCUUUAAGUCCAGGGUGCUAUUCCGGGGAACAGCAUCAUCAGUAACAGCAGCAGGACCUGGCCAUCGAUAGUAUUUCGAGCAAUUUUCCCCAUCGGAGAUCCCGUGCUUCACGCACAUUGAAGAAACCUCCUCAGCCACAUAUGUGUGUCAAGGAGAAAAAGGAGCUGGAUUCGAAUCGUCAAUCCAGACAACCCGAAUGCACCGAUUGCAUUAUAUAUCUUGUUUAUAUUUUAUAUGCAUUUUGUGUUUUUUUGAAUAAAAUGAUUAAAAACGA